AGUCAUUUGUGGCAGGGAGGCUGUUCACAUUACAGGAGGAAAUUUGAGUAACUUCUAGACUAAGCAAGUAACAUACAACUUGAAAUUUUGAUCCCUGUUUGCAAUGUUGGCAAAAAAUACUAACAAUCACCCCUUCCAUGCCAUAAAUUUAAAGCCCACUUUGGCAAACUAAUGAGAGUUGCUGUAAUGACUAAAUUAGACAUGCAUGUAAAAUGCCAAACAAUUAAAAGAAAAUAAAUAAGUACCCAAAACAAAUACUAGUAACACUGAAUGUUAAAAUUAAAAAUAUUUUUAACAAACUUAAAGCACUUGAAUCGCAU